UUUCAUUUAGGCUUCAAGGAAAGCGAACUUGGUCCUGGCCGUGGAUAUUUCAUCUUUCAACUUGAGACUGAUUUUCCAUUCUAAAUGUACUGCAAUCACUGGACCUCACAGCUCACCACUGGCAGAUGAGUCCCACUCUGUGACAAAGGGGUCCCUGCGCUCAACCUCAUUUGAUGCAGUGAUGAAAUCACCCCCCCCCCACCUUCACUCAUCCUUACCGCACAGCCUCAUUCUCUUGUUCACACACAUGCACAAGUGUGACGCACACUUUCUGAGAAGAAGCAUUCCGUUUAGCAACAGAGGGUGUUGCAGGGACGGGGGGAGGGGUCAGGACCCAUGGGUGGGCUUUUAGAAGGCAAACAAACAUGAGAGCAGCAGAGAAGUGAUGUCUUGUUUACACAUUAACAGACACUUAGCAAGUCUCCGGCGCCUCAGAGCUGCUGCUGUUUUUUUUUUUUUUGUUGCUUCCCACACAAAUCAACACCGAGGGGCGGAGCUACAUGGGUGGCCAUGGUCACUCUCUUGUCAGCCGCACAUCUAGGGGAAGAUUUUGAUACCUGCGACUUGCCUGCCAUUUUCAGAUGGAUCCAAUGUUCUUCGAUCCCUUGAUACACUGCCCCAAUUCAUUUAUAUUAACUGCAUACAUUUACUAAUGAUCUGAAUGCAAACCCUGAAAUGUCUGUCUUAAGUAAAGAGGAUUUGAUUCUUCAAUGGCCUAAAAAGGAAUCAAGUACAGUCAUCAUCAUUUCUUGCAAAAUUAAAUAGACUCAAAUGAGCAAAAAUCGAGCUUUCAGCUGUCGUCCCUUUGCCAGAUGUUAAUAGAAGCUUCAAUGCAAAUGCACAAUAGACAGACCAUAAGGCAUCACAGAACAGAUGAAUGAAUAGAGUAGAAGUCUUAAAAUAAAUGCUAAUUAAAAUAAAUAAUAUUAAAAGAUAAAUCAUCGGUACAGCUCGUAGUCGUGUUUACCUUGUUGGGCAUCAACAAGCCAGUCCUUUGGUUUCAUUGACUUUAUAAACAUAUUCUUACGUUCAGUGUCAAUCAAAAUUUUGGCGACGCCCCUGGUCAGCACUUGAUGCAUUUGGAUUGAGACUGCAAAAAAAAAAA